rnacentral:rRNA from 1 species
UACAGAGGUCUCAAGCGUUGUUCGGAAUUACUGGGCGUAAAGGGUUCGUAGGCGGGAAGAUAGGUUAAGUGUGAAAUCCCCAAGCUCAACUUGGGACGUGCACUUAAAACUAUUUUUCUUGAGUGUUGGAGAGGGUGGUGGAAUUGCUGGUGUAGGAGUGACAUCCGUAGAGAUCAGCAGGAACAUCGGAGGCGAAAGCGACUGCCUGGCCAAACACUGACGCUGAGGAACGAAAGCGUGGGGAGCAAACAGG